UAAGCUUUCACCGGUGGGUUCCG
rnacentral:miRNA from 1 species